GAUGAACGCUGGCGGCGUGCUUAACACAUGCAAGUCGAACGAAGCACUUUAUUUGAUUUCCUUCGGGACUGAUUAUUUUGUGACUGAGUGGCGGACGGGUGAGUAACGCGUGGGUAACCUGCCUUGUACAGGGGGAUAACAGUUGGAAACGGCUGCUAAUACCGCAUAAGCGCACAGCAUCGCAUGAUGCAGUGUGAAAAACUCCGGUGGUAUAAGAUGGACCCGCGUUGGAUUAGCUAGUUGGUGAGGUAACGGCCCACCAAGGCGACGAUCCAUAGCCGACCUGAGAGGGUGACCGGCCACAUUGGGACUGAGACACGGCCCAAACCCCUACGGGAAGCAGCAGUGGGGAAUAUUGCACAAUGGGCGAAAGCCUGAUGCAGCGACGCCGCGUGAGCGAAGAAGUAUUUCGGUAUGUAAAGCUCUAUCAGCAGGGAAGAUAAUGACGGUACCUGACUAAGAAGCACCGGCUAAAUACGUG
rnacentral:rRNA from 1 species